AUUCAUUUUUGAUGCUUCUUGCUUUUUUAAAGCAAAAUUUUAUUCUGUGAAGUGUUUUUGAAAGUGCAAGUUGUGUAUAUUGAAAAAAGUUAAUAAAUUAAAAUAAAUUAAUAAAAUAAGAAUAUAGUAAGUGUUGUGUGUUAAAUAAUUUAAUAAAAUGUCAGGAUUCAGUAGGAGAAAUUUAAGACGAUUAAAGAAAGUGGAAGCAGACAAUUUAAAAAGAAAUGCACAGUUGAGGACGGACUGUUUGGAAAACUAUGAUAUUGUACUAAAUGAGCAGAUUCCAUGCAUUCCAAAAUAGUAGAAGAUUUUGAAAGAUAUGUUAGUAUAAUAAAAAUUAUAAUUUCACUAGAUGGCCUUAUUUAAAACUUCUGCAAGAUUAUUGACAUUUCUAUAAUAUUAACUUACAACUAUGAUGGCACCCAAAAUAAAAAUGCGUUUAAGGAAUAUAAACUUUUAAACAUGGCCAUUUCCGAAGCUGUCAUAUGUGGAGGAUUAACUGAACAGGAUUACGACAAAAAAAUUAGAAAAUGUUUCAAAUUCCCUAUUCCAGACACUUCCGAACAAUGUCCUACAAUAAAAAAAACUGGAAAAAUUUAAUUGUUUUUCUUUAGUUUAAGCUUUGUUUCUUCCCACGUCUUUUGAAUAAGUUUUAUGAAUUUAUUUUUUAAGCAUUAUUUCCAAUUAUAAUAAGAAUAUUUUAUUGUUGAGAACACUGUUCUAUAAUACGAAUAUUUUAAUAAAAAACAGCUGAAUUUAAGUUCCACAAUCUAAAAUCUUGAUGGAAUCGGACCCAUCCAAUCUUCGCUUACAAUGUUGAUAGAUUUCGGACCCAUCCAACAUUCGCUUACGUUGUCGGUCGAUUUCGGACCCAUCCAACAUUCGCUUACAUUGUCGGUAGAUUUCG